rnacentral:rRNA from 1 species
CACCUCUAGCAUUUCAAGUAUUAGAGGCAUUGCCUGCCCAGUGACUAUAGUUAAACGGCCGCGGUAUCCUGACCGUGCAAAGGUAGCAUAAUCAUUUGUUCCUUAAUUAGGGACUAGUAUGAACGGCUAAACGAGGGCUCAACUGUCUCUUAUUUUCAAUCAGUGAAAUUGACCUUCCAGUGAAGAGGCUGGAAUAUAAAAAUAAGACGAGAAGACCCUAUGGAGCUUAAAUUAAUAAGCUUAAUUAUUACCUUAGUCCCCUAAUGGAAUAAAACAAAUAAUAUAAGCUUAAAAUUUUGGUUGGGGUGACCUCGGAGAACAAAAAAUCCUCCGAAAGAUAUAUAACAUAGACCUACAAGUCAAAGUAUACCAAUUAUCCAAUUGACCCAAAAAUUGAUCAACGGACCAAGUUACCCUAGGGAUAACAGCGCAAUCCUAUUUAAGAGUCCAUAUCGACAAUAGGGUUUACGACCUCGAUGUUGGAUCAGGACAUCCCAAUGGUGCAGAAGCUAUUAAUGGUUCGUUUGUUCAACGAUUAAA